GUAGUCUCGCACAGAUGCAUAUCAAUAAGCGGAGGAAAAGAAACUAACAAGGAUUCCCCUAGUAACGGCGAGUGAAGCGGGAAGAGCUCAAAUUUGAAAUCUUAAAGGGUUUCCCUUUACGAAUUGUAGUUUAAAGAGGUGUUUUCUGUUGAGGUUUUGGUAAAAGUUCUUUGGAAUAGGACAUCAUAGAGGGUGAGAAUCCCGUAUUUGACCUUUACUUUCAACUUUGUGAUACACUUUCAAAGAGUCGGAUUGUUUGGGAAUGCAGUCCAAAAUGGGUGGUAAAUUUCAUCUAAAGCUAAAUAUUGGCGAGAGACCGAUAGCGAACAAGUACCGUGAGGGAAAGAUGAAAAGAACUUUGAAAUGAGAGUUAAACAGUACGUGAAAUUGUCAAAAGGGAAGCGUUUGACACCAGUGUUGUUUUUCUGAAAAUCAAUUAAAGAACUGUUUAUGCUAAGUUGUUUAGACUUUAUCAGCUAUCUGUUUAGUUUUGAGCUUUUCUUUAAUGCACUUUUCAGUUAACAAGUCAACAUCAAUUUCUUUUGCUGUAAAAAAGCUUGAGGAAGGUGGCUUGAGAUUCGUCUUAAGUGUUUAUAGCCUCUUGCCUAUGCAGUCGGAGAGAUUGAGGUCUGCAGCGUAGAUCCUUCGGGGCUAAAUGCAUUUGUGCUAAGUUAUAGCAUUUUAUAGACAACUUGUUGACUAUGAUUUGUCUUGUAGCUUACUCGCUUAUGUUAUUUUACCUACGCUUAGGAUGUUGAUCUGUAGUGCGUGCGC
rnacentral:rRNA from 1 species